CUGAAUUGUUAGGGGUGCCUAAAAUUGGCUGAGAUUAUACCCUAUGAACCUGAGAUGUUUAAUAACAGCGGAGGGAAACGAGGAUUGUAACAC
rnacentral:ncRNA from 1 species